UACGUAGGUGUCAAGCGUUGUCCGGAUUUAUUGGGCGUAAAGCGCCCGCAGGCGGCUUGCCAAGUCUGACGUGAAAUCUCCCGGCUCAACUGGGAGGGUGCAUCGGAUACUGGCUGCCUCGAGGAGGGUAGGGGCAUCUGGAACUAGCGGUGGAGCGGUGAAAUGCGUUGAUAUCGCUAGGAACUCCGGUGGCGAAGGCGAGGUGCUGGACCCUUUCUGACGCUGAGGCGCGAAAGCCAGGGGAGCGAACGGG
rnacentral:rRNA from 1 species